rnacentral:rRNA from 1 species
AUUGAACGCUGGCGGCAUGCCUUACACAUGCAAGUCGAACGGCAGCGGGGGAGAAGCUUGCUUUUCCUGCCGGCGAGUGGCGAACGGGUGAGUAAUACAUCGGAACGUGCCCUGUAGUGGGGGAUAACUAGUCGAAAGAUUAGCUAAUACCGCAUACGACCUGAGGGUGAAAGUGGGGGACCGCAAGGCCUCAUGCUAUAGGAGCGGCCGAUGUCUGAUUAGCUAGUUGGUGGGGUAAAGGCCUACCAAGGCGACGAUCAGUAGCUGGUCUGAGAGGACGAUCAGCCACACUGGGACGGAGACAGGGCCCAGACUCCUACGGGAGGCAGCAGUGGGGAAUUUUGGACAAUGGGCGAAAGCCUGAUCCAGCAAUGCGGCGUGUGUGAAGAAGGCCUUCGGGUUGUAAAGCACUUUUGUCCGGAAAGAAAUGGCUCUGGUUAAUACCUGGGGUCGAUGACGGUACCGGAAGAAUAAGGACCGGCUAACUACGUGCCAGCAGCCGCCGUAA